AAAUGAAUUGACGGGACCGCACAAGCAGCGGAGCGUGUGGUUAAUUCGAUGCUACACGAAGAACCUUACCAGGGUUUGACAUGCAAGUGGUAGGAAUCUGAAAAGGGACCGACCUUCGGGGAGCUUGCACAGGUGCUGCAUGGCUGUCGUCAGCUCGUGUCGUGAGAUGUUCGGUUAAGUCCGCUAACGAGCGCAACCCUCACUGUGUGUUAUAUGUGUCACACGGGACUGCCGGUUUUAAGCCGGAGGAAGGUGGGGAUGACGUCAAGUCAGCAUGGCCUUUAUAUCCUGGGCUACACACACGCUACAAUGGUCGGUACAAUAGGUUGCCAAGCCGCGAGGCGGAGCCAAUCCACAAAGCCGGCCUCAGUUCAGAUUGUAGGCUGCAACUCGCCUGCAUGAAGAUGGAGUUGCUAGUAACCGCAGGUCAGCAAUACUGCGGUGAAUACGUUCCCGGGUCUU
rnacentral:rRNA from 1 species